AAUCAAGUACAUCAACGGCUAUGAUUAAAGGGUAUCUACAAUCAAAUCUCUAAGAAUAUAAAAUCAUAUCUUCUAAGAUUACCUAUCUUAUCUAAGAUAUGUAAUCUUAUAAAAUAAUAUCUUAUAAGAUUACAUAUCAUAUCUAAAAUCUCUAAGAUUAUAAAAUCAUAUCUUUUAAGAUCAUGUUUCCAUAUUUGUCUAACUUGUAGAUGGGCCUUCAAU
rnacentral:lncRNA from 1 species